rnacentral:rRNA from 1 species
AACGAACGCUGGCGGCAUGCCUAACACAUGCAAGUCGAACGAGACCUUCGGGUCUAGUGGCGCACGGGUGCGUAACGCGUGGGAACCUGCCCUUAGGUUCGCAAUAACUCCCCGAAAGGGGUGCUAAUACCGGAUAAUGUCUUCGGACCAAAGAUUUAUCGCCUUUGGAUGGGCCCGCGUUGGAUUAGCUAGUUGGUAGGGUAAAAGCCUACCAAGGCGACGAUCCAUAGCUGGUCUGAGAGGAUGAUCAGCCACACUGGGACUGAGACACGGCCCAGACUCCUACGGGAGGCAGCAGUGGGGAAUAUUGGACAACGGGCGAAAGCCUGAUCCAGCAAGGCCGCGUGAGUGAUGAAGGCCGGAGGGUUGUAAAGCUCUUUUACCCGGGAUGAUAAUGACAGUACCGGGAGAAUAAGCCCCGGCUAACUCCGUG